rnacentral:tRNA from 1 species
GCGGAGGUUGCCAAGCCUGGUCAAAGGCGUAGGGUUCAGAACUCGGCGUCCGAAUCGCGAGUUCAAAUCUCGCCCUCCGCACCA